UAAAAGGGUGUCCGCCGUACUGAGUGGCGCGCGGUUCGCCGUGGGGGAUGGCCCUCAAGACAUACCCGACACGCAAUUUUUAGUACCCGGGGGAAGUUCGAUGCUUACGCUCGGACGCCCUC